rnacentral:lncRNA from 1 species
UUCUCGGAGGAUGUUCAAAAGCAUGAAACUCUAUGUCUCCUUCCCCACCCCUUUGAACGUGGAUUUAUCCUUUACGGACGAGGUAUAAAUAUUUUUCCUUGAGGGAUGAGAGAUCUCGGCACCGAGAACGAGCUCAUUGACGUCGUGGGCCUUCUUUUUAGCAUAACUUUCUUCGCCUUUAAUGUAGCACUCCGCCCUAACAACUACCUCAGCUAGCAUGAGCGGUGGCUUUUGGGCGAGGGAUUCAUCAAAGUG